CUUUUAUAAAGCAGAUCUGUUGAAAUAUUCUAUUUCCUCAAGUUAGUUUAGGUAAUCUUUGUGUUUCAAGGAAUUUGACCACUUCUUGAUUAUAUAAUUUGUUGGUGCACCAAUAUUACACUGUAUGUUAACUGGAAUCUAAAUAAAAAUUUAGAGAAAGAAAAUAAUUUGUUGGUGUACAGUUGUUCUUAAUAUUGUCUUAUAAUCCUUUUUACCUCUGUAAGGUUGGUAGCAAGAUCUCCAUUUUCAUUUCUGGUUAUUUGUGUUUUCUUUUUUUGUGUCAGUCUAGGUAACAUUCUGUCAAUUCUGUUGAUUUUUUUCAAAGCCAACUUUUGGUUUCACUGAUUUUCUCUGUUUUUCUAUUUGGUUUAUCCCCACUUUGUCUUUUAUUAUUUCCUUCUUCCAUAGCUUUUUGGUGUAAAGUUAGGUUAUGGAUUCCCAGAUCUUUUCUCAUAUAGGCAAUUUAUGUUACAAAUUUCCCUCCUAGCACUGCUUUUGCUAUACGACAUUAAUUUUGGUAUGCUGUGUUUUCAUUAGUCUUUAAGUAUUUUCUGAUUUAAUUUGUGAUCUAUUCGUUGACCUAUUGGUUGUUUUCUUAGUCCAUUCAGGCUACUAUAACAAGAUACCAGAGAUUGGAUAGCUUGUAAGCAGGAUAUUUUUCACAGUUCUUGAGGGUGGAAGUCAGAGAUCAAGGUGCCAGCAUUGUCAGGUUUUCAGGUUGCAGGAUUUGUUUUGUAUCCUCACAGGCAGAAGGAACAAGAGAGUUCUGUGGGAUCUCUUUUCUAAAAGCACCCAUCCCAUUCAUGAGGGUUCUACCAUUAUGACCUAAGCAUCUCUCAGAAGCCCCACCUUUUAAUACCAACACAUCAGACAGUAGGACUUCAACAUAGGAACUUGGGGGAAGACACAUUCAGGCCAUAACAGUUAUUUAUGAGUGUAUAGUUUAAUUUUUGCUUAUUUGUGAAUUGUCCACUUUUCCUUAAUUUCUAACUUCCUCCUGUUAUGAUCAACAGUUACUUUAUAUAUGUUAAAGCUAUUGAUAUUUGUUUUAUGGGCUAAUAUAUAAAUCCUUCAUGAAAAAUAUGCCAUGUGCAAUUGAGAAGAAUAUGUAUGGUGCAGUUUUGAGGUGGAAUGUUAUUUGUCUGUUACGUGUAGUUGGCUUGUUGAGUUGUUUAUGUCCUUUAUUCCUUUAUCUUUUGUGUGGUGAUCUACCCAUUAUUUAAAGUGGACUACUGAAGUCUCCAACUAUUAAUACAACAGUCUAUUUCUCCCUUCAAUUCUGUCAACUUUGCCUCACAUAUUUUUAUGGGCCUGUUAUUAGAUGUGCAAACGCUUAUAAUUGGUAUAUAUUUUUCCUGUGUUGAACAUUUUAGUAAUAUACAGUGAUCCUGUCACUUGAAAUCUUUUAGAUUUAAAGUCUAUUUUGUCUGAUAUUAAUAUAGGCACCAGAGCUCUGUUUUGGUUACUCUUUGCAUAAAAGAGCUUUUCCCACUCUUUUAACACAUUUGUGUCUUUGGGCCCACUGUGACUCACUUGUAGACAGCAUCUGGUUGGAACAUUUGUCUAAUCCAUUCUGCCAAUCUCUUAUUGGAGAACUUAAUCUAUUUACAUUAAAAGUAAUUACUGGAGAGCAAGAACUUCUGCCUUUUUGCUCUUGGUUUUCUAUAUGACCGACAGCAUUUUUAUCCCUCAUUUCCUCAAUUAGUGCCUGAGCAAGCCUGGGUGACAACUGAAGUGAACUUUGCAAGGUGAACAGUAGUCACUCUGACAGAUGAGCAUGGUAAAAAGGGGGAUAAGAAGGGCAUUCUAGGCUGAAGGAACAGCAUGCUAAAGGGAAUAUUUUUUUGUUCAAAAAGGCAGGAGAGGACCUGUGUGGUUGCAAAAGAAACCUCAAUCUUCUGAGACACAGUACCGUCACGAGGCAGUUGCAUGGUCUCUUGGGGGCGGGGUGUUCAAAUUUAGCCUACGUUUGAGAUGUGUGACUCUGGGAAACUUACUAGAGCUGUCGAAUCUCAGGUUGCUGACAAUGCCAUGGAGAUGAUUAUGACACUCACCGCAUAGUCAGUGGGAGGAUUAAUAAAAGUAAGAAAAACACACCAAGCAACUCACAUGUACCAGGCACUCCACUGUUUGCUUUAGGAGUAUUUUCUCUUCAAUUCUCAAAAACACCUGGUAAAAUAGGAAUUAAUCUUGGUUUGAUGUAGAAAUCAAGGCUUGAGAAAUGAAAGGACUUCCCCGAGGUUAUACAGGCACACCUCAUUUUCUUGCACUUCACUUUACUGUGGUUUGCGGAUAUUGCAUUGUUUACAAACUGAUGAAGAUUGGUGGCAAUCCUGCAUCAAACAAAUGUCAACAUCAUUUUUCAAACAGCAUUUGCCUUUUCACGUCUCUGUCACAUUUUGGUAAUUCCCACAAUAUUUUUUUUCUUUAUUAUUAUAUUUGUUAUGGUGAUCUGUGAUCAGUGAUCUUUGAUGUUACAGUCGUCAUGGUUUUGGGGUGCCAGAAACUGCACACAUAUAAGACCAUGAACUUAACCAAUAGUGCGUUCUGACUGCUCCACUAACCACCUGCUCAUCUCUGUCUGGUCCUUAGGCCUCCCUGUUUCCUGAGACACAAUAUUGAAAUUAGGCCAACAGAUAACCCUACAAUGGCCUCUAAGUGUUCAAGUGAAAGGAAGAGUUACACAUCUGUCACUUGAAAUCAAAAGCUAUGAUUAAGCUUAGUGAGGAAGGUGGUCAAAAGCCAAGUUAGGCUGAAAGCAGCUAGGCCUCUUGCACCAAACAGCCAAGUUGUAAAUGCAAAGGAAAAUUUCUUGAAGAAAAUUAAAAGUGCUACUCCAGUGAACACACAAAUGUGUGAACAGAAGUCACAAUAUUCCCAUAAACCAAAGCCUGAUCCAGAAUGCGAACUCUUCAGUUCUCGGUAGGCUGGGAGAGGCGAGGAAGCUACAGAGAGGAAAUGGGGCUAACGGAGGUGGAUUCGUGCAGUUUAAGAAGCCAUCUCUGUACAAGUACAAGGUGAAGUAGUAAGUUCUGAUGUGGAAGCUGCAGCAAGUUGUCCAGAAGAUGUGGCUAAAAUCAUUACUGAAGGUGGCUACACUAAGCAAAAGAUCUUCAAUGGAAAAAGAUGUCAUCUAGGACUUUCAUAGCUAGAGAAAAGUCCAUGCCUGGCUUCAGUUUCAAAGGACAAGCUGACUCUUAUUAAGGGCAAAUGUAGCUGAUGACUUUAAGCAGAAACCAGUGUUCAUUUACCAUUCUGAAAAUCCUAGGACCCUUAAGGAUUAUGCUAAAUCUGCUCUGCCUGUGCUCUAUAAAUGGAACAUCAAAGCCUGAUGACAGCACAUCUGUUUACAACAUGGUUUACUGAGUAUUUUAGGUCCACAGUACUGCUCAAAGAAAAGAAAAAAGAUCAUUUUCAAAACAUUACUGUUUAAUUGACAAUGUCUCCCUUAUUCUGCCUUUUCUCCAAAACCAUCUUUAGGGCACCAUUCUUCCUUCCUGCAGCCCAGGUGGAUUUUCGUCUCAUCUUCUCUUAUCUGGUGCUCUUUGUGUCUCCUUGGGAGUAUACGGGGUAAUAAACAUAUUCCCUCUGGAAAUGGCUCAAAUAUGAAAGGUGGAUGUGUUGGAAGGAAAUGGGAGUGUCUUAUAAGGACCCCGCGAAAAGUGAAACGUUCAGUAUCACUGUGAAGAGAGGGACCAAGAUGGCAGAACAGCAUGAAGUUUUUUUGUGUGUCUCUCGUCCCUGAAAUGCAGCCAGAUCAACAUUAAACUAUCUUGCUAGAAAACCGGUAUGAGGAUUAACACAACAAUCUGCACAACCUGAACCACAGUAUCACUGUGAAGGCACUUUAAACCAAGAAUUGUAAAACGUUA